UACGGGGGGGGCAAGCGUUGUUCGGAAUUACUGGGCGUAAAGGGCUCGUAGGUGGCCAACUAAGUCAGACGUGAAAUCCCUCGGCUUAACCGGGGAACUGCGUCUGAUACUGGAUGGCUUGAGUUUGGGAGAGGGACGCGGAAUUCCAGGUGUAGCGGUGAAAUGCGUAGAUAUCUGGAGGAACACCGGUGGCGAAGGCGGCAUCCUGGACCAUGACUGACGCUGAGGAGCGAAAGCCAGGGGAGCAAACGGG
rnacentral:rRNA from 1 species